CCUGUUUGAAUCCUGUAGACUCUGAAGACAGGAUGACAAAGGUCCUAUGUGGUGAGAUAGGGCUGGAGGGCCUGUAAAUGAGGGCAGGUGGAGGGAUGAAACUGAACGGUCAGAUCUCGGCUGGAGGUAAACAGAGGGGACGCGGAGGCGCCUUGAGAAGUUGCAGUUAUGAGGCAUCAUGGGAAGAGAAAAAAGCAACAGGAAGCCAGACCCAGAUUUUAUUCCGAGCUCAUCUUUGGGAAAAUCACUUCUCUGGUUUGGACAUCUCAUUCUGUCAUUCUUCCCAGUUAAUGUCCUAGUUCUUGCCUCCCCAAAAUCCUGUCACAAUCCUGACUAGAGCUCUGGUCUGCCGUGUAGGACAGGGAGUGAACUCUGCAGUCAGAUGAUCUGGGCCCAGAGCCCAGCUGGGCGACUGCGGCGGAGGCACUCGGUCCCCCCCCCCCCAUGCUCUGGUGUGGAGCAGGAAUGGACGCCCACUGUGGUAUUUCCUUAGGGUAGUGAGAGUAGGUGUCUCAGUGUGUCACAUGUGUUAGGACUGGAGAAAUGGCUGCUGUUAUCAUUUGAUUUAGAUUCACUUCUAUUCCUGGUGGGGGCUCCCCUGAGAGCCCCUGGGAUUGUGCGGGAAAUUUCUGU